CCUACGGGAGGCAGCAGUGAGGAAUAUUGGUCAAUGGCCGAGAGGCUGAACCAGCCAAGUCGCGUGAGGGAAGACGGCCCUACGGGUUGUAAACCUCUUUUGUCGGGGAGCAAAGCGAACCACGUGUGGUUCAUUGAGAGUACCCUAAGAAAAAGCAUCGGCUAACUCCGUGCCAGCAGCCGCGGUAAUACGGAGGAUGCGAGCGUUAUCCGGAUUUAUUGGGGUUAAAGGGUGCGCAGGCGGCGGUGCAAGUCAGCGGUCAAAUUGCGGGGCUCAACCCCGUACUGCCGUUGAUACUGCAAGCCUUGAGUGCAGGUGAGGUAUGCGGAAUGCGUGGUGUAGCGGUGAAAUGCAUAGAUAUCACGCAGAACUCCGAUUGCGAAGGCAGCAUACCGGAGCGCAACUGACGCUCAUGCACGAAAGCGUGGGUAUCGAACAGGAUUAGAUACCCCAGUAGUC
rnacentral:rRNA from 1 species